rnacentral:rRNA from 1 species
AUUGAACGCUGGCGGCAUGCUUUACACAUGCAAGUCGAACUGUAACAGGGUGCUUGCACCGCUGACGAGUGGCGAGCGGGUGAGUAAUGCGUCGGAACGCACCGAGUAAUGGGGGAUAACGCAGCGAAAGCUGUGCUAAUACCGCAUACGCUCUGAGGAGGAAAGCGGGGGAUCGUAAGACCCCGCGUUAUUCGAGCGGCCGACGUCUGAUUAGCUAGUAGGUGAGGUAAGAGCUCACCUAGGCGACGAUCAGUAGCGGGUCUGAGAGGAUGAUCCGCCCCACUGGGCUGAGACACGGCCCAGACUCCUACGGGAGGCAGCAGUGGGGAAUUUUGGACAAUGGGCGCAAGCCUGAUCCAGCCAUGCCGCGUGUCUGAAGAAGGCCUUCGGGUUGUAAAGGACUCUUGUCAGGGAGGAAAUCCUUAGCGCUAAUACCGCUGAGGGAUGACAGUACCUGAAGAAUAAGCACCGGCUAACUACGUGCCAGCCGCCGCCGUAA